UUGACCUCGGAUCAGGUAGGAAUACCCGCUGAACUUAAGCAUAUCU
rnacentral:rRNA from 2 species